rnacentral:rRNA from 1 species
GCGCAGCAGGCGCGAAUACUUUACAAUGCGGGAAACCGUGAUAAGGGAACCUCGAGUGCUGGCGCAUAGCGUCGGCUGUCCAGAUGCCUAAAAAGCAUCUGAUAGCAAGGGCCGGGCAGGACCGGUGCCAGCCGCCGCGGUAACACCGGCGGCUCGAGUGGUGGCCACGUUUAUUGGGUCUAAAGCGUCCGUAGCCGGCUCGGCAAGUCCCCUGGGAAAUCUGGCGGCUCAACCGUCAGGCGUCCAGAGGAUACUGCUGGGCUUGGGGACCCGGGAGAGGUGAGAGGUACCUCAGGGGUA